GAUAGAAAUUUUGCAAGUGUACAAAUAGCCGUCAAGUAAUAAAAUCAAAGUUCGUAUCCACAGGGAUUGUUUCAAUCUCGACAAAACAAUUAAAUUAAUUUAGGAUUAAUAAUUAAAAUNNNNNNNNNNNNNNNNNNNNNUCUAAUUACUAUUUCUCUUGGUAAUUUCAUGUAUGAUUACAAAUUAAUCAAUUUAGUUUCAUGAUUAGAUUAAAUCUCAAGUGAUUAUGCCCAAUGUCUUGGUAACAUAAUCCUCUCCAUUUAUCAUCGAUUCCUAAUGUCUUAGGUAAUCUAUGAUCAAUUGAGGAAUAUAAACUUUAAUCCGUUAAUCUCAAUUAACAAUCCGAAAUGUCUUAAGUGAAAGAUAAUUGAUCAAUUAUUCCUAGAUCGAUGAGUUAUCCCUAUUGUCAUAGUAAAACAAAUCAUUGAAAUCAUCAUAUAAGUCGCGAAUUCAUACAAAGCAUUAAGCACAAGGAAUAAUCAAAGAAACUAACUUCGUAACUCAUUGAUCAUAUCAAAUGAUAAUCACAUGGUUCAAGAUAAAUUGAAAUUAGAAUUCCCUAAGGACCAAUCAUGGAAAUUUAACUCGACAUAAUUGUGACAAUAAGCAACAUAGAGAAUAAAGUAAAACCAGAUAACAUAUGAUGCUCCUCCUGCUUGUUGCGCUAUUGCCGUUCUCCAAUUCUGUUGCGUGAUGUUGAUCCCCCUCUCCUCAUUGUGGUGUUGCCUUUAAUAUAUGUUCAACCAAUGAAACCUAAACACCUCACUUUUUGGAUC
rnacentral:lncRNA from 1 species